rnacentral:rRNA from 1 species
CACGUAGUUAGCCGUGGCUUCCUCCUCAGGUACCGUCAUUAUCGUCCCUGAAGACAGAGCUUUGCAACCCGAAGGCCGUCAUCACUCACGCGGCGUUGCUGCAUCAGGGUUUCCCCCAUUGUGCAAUAUUCCCCACUGCUGCCUCCCGUAGGAGUCUGGGCCGUGUCUCAGUCCCAAUGUGGCCGAUCACCCUCUCAGGUCGGCUACGCAUCGUCGCCUUGGUGAGCCGUUACCUCACCAACUAGCUAAUGCGCCGCGGGCCCAUCUCAUAGCGGAUUACUCCUUUAAUUGCUACUUCAUGCGAAGCUACAAUCUUAUGCGGUAUUAAUCUCCCUUUCGGAAGGCUAUUCCCCUCUAUGAGGUAGGUUGCCCAGUGUUACUCACCCGUUCGCCGCUAGCUUUGUUCCGAAGAACUCCACUCGCUCGACUUGCAUGUGUUAGGCACGCCGCCAGCGUUCGUCCUGAGCCAGGAUCAACUCU